AAGUCGUAACAAGGUAACCGUAGGUGAACCUGCGGUUGGAUCAUUAAAAAUUCAAUCAUUGUAUGAUUAACUAUAGUGAUCUUUGAUGGUAUACUUGAGCUCCUAAAUUUAUUUGGUUGAGCUUAAAGUAUUCAAUACCAUCAUAGUAUCCUAUAGUUGAUUAUUACAACCAACACUUUGUGCACUAUCAUUGUAUUUUGGGAUUGACUCUUAAAACAAGUCAUCCCAGUUUCUAUUAUAAACCAUAUUAUUGAACAUUUGACUGAUACUUAUAUUUAUAUAUAAAAAACAACUUUUGACAACGGAUCUCUUGGCUCUC
rnacentral:misc_RNA from 1 species